CUAGAAGAAGUUUGACUUGCUUGCUCAUUUCUGAGCUUAUCACUUGAUGAGGAAAGUAUGGUGCAAAACUUGUCAUGUCCAGGUCUAUAGCUUCAACACCAGGAGGCAGAUUCGAAUCAAAGCUGAAUGAAGUUGAGCAAGAGCAAAUUCUGCAGUUGCCAUAACUAACACAAUGGAAUUAUGUACUUGUUGAUGGUAUCCUCUUCCCCGGACUGGCUUGUGGCUUGGUACGGGUACUGGUGUAGGAGGGUGGAACCAAAGGACUUCUUUGAUAAUCAAUUUCAAGAACUGCAACUUUGGUAAGUUACUGAAACAACUGCUUGUUCACCAACAAUACUUGACAAUAUUUUGAAAAUGAAUAAUUCCGCUGUGCAAACUUAGUUUUGACAAAAUUCUUUUAAGACUAUUUAGUUAAGCCUUAAACAUAACUUUUAAGGAAGCGUGGAAA